GUACACGCUGUGACUAGCAUAUCAAUAAGCGGAGGAAAAGAAACUAACAAGGAUUCCCCUAGUAACGGCGAGUGAAGCGGGAAGAGCUCAAAUUUGAAAUCUUAAAGGGUUUCCCUUUACGAAUUGUAGUUUAAAGAAGUGUUUUCUGUUGAGGUUUUGGUAAAAGUUCUUUGGAAUAGGACAUCAUAGAGGGUGAGAAUCCCGUAUUUGACCUUUACUUUCAACUUUGUGAUACACUUUCAAAGAGUCGGAUUGUUUGGGAAUGCAGUCCAAAAUGGGUGGUAAAUUUCAUCUAAAGCUAAAUAUUGGCGAGAGACCGAUAGCGAACAAGUACCGUGAGGGAAAGAUGAAAAGAACUUUGAAAAGAGAGUUAAACAGUGCGUGAAAUUGUCAAAAGGGAAGCGUUUGACACCAGUGUUGUUUUUCUGAAAAUCAAUUAAAGAACUGUUUAUGCUAAGCUGUUUAGACUUUAUCAGCUAAUCUGUUUAGUUUUGAGCUUUUCUUUAAUGCACUUUUCAGUUAACAAGUCAACAUCAAUUUCUUUUGCUGUAAAAAAGCUUGAGGAAGGUGGCUUGAGAUUCGUCUUAAGUGUUUAUAGCCUCUUGCCUAUGCAGUCGGAGAGAUUGAGGUCUGCAGCGUAGAUCCUUCGGGGCUAAAUGCAUUUGUGCUAAGUUAUAGCAUUUUAUAGACAACUUGUUGACUAUGAUUUGUCUUGUAGCUUACUCGCUUAUGUUAUUUUACCUACGCUUAGGAUGUUGAGUCGUAGAGCACGCAG
rnacentral:rRNA from 1 species